GUGUCAGCAGCCGCGGUAAUACGUAGGGUGCAAGCGUUAAUCGGAAUUACUGGGCGUAAAGCGUGCGCAGGCGGUUUGAUAAGACAGGUGUGAAAUCCCCGAGCUCAACUUGGGAACUGCACUUGUGACUGUCAGACUAGAGUGUGUCAGAGGGAGGUAGAAUUCCACGUGUAGCAGUGAAAUGCGUAGAUAUGUGGAGGAAUACCAGUGGCGAAGGCGGCCUCCUGGGAUAACACUGACGCUCAUGUACGAAAGCGUGGGGAGCAGACAGGAUUAGAUACCCUGGUAGUCCACGCCCUAAACGAUGUCAACUGGUUGUUGGGGAUUCAUUUCCUUAGUAACGAAGCUAACGCGUGAAGUUGACCGCCUGGGGAGUACGGUCGCAAGAUUAAAACUUAAAGGAAUUGACGG
rnacentral:rRNA from 1 species